rnacentral:rRNA from 1 species
UACGUAGGGUGCGAGCGUUAAUCGGAAUUACUGGGCGUAAAGCGUGCGCAGGCGGUGAUGUAAGACCGAUGUGAAAUCCCCGGGCUCAACCUGGGAACUGCAUUCAAAACUGUCGAGCUAGAGUAUGGUAGAGGGUGGUGGAAUUUCCUGUGUAGCGGUGAAAUGCGUAGAUAUAGGAAGGAACACCGGUGGCGAAGGCGGGUCUCUGGGCCGAUACUGACGCUGAGGAGCGAAAGCGUGGGGAGCGAACAGG